AGAAAACAAUUCCAUUUAUGAUAGCAUCCAAAAAAAAAUACUUAGGAGUAAAUUUAACCGAGAAGGUUAAAGAUUUGUACACUGAAAACUAUAAUACACUGAUGAAAGAAACUGAAGACACAAAUAAAUGGACAGAUAUCCCAUGUUCAUAGAUAGGAAUAAUUAAUAUUGUUAAAACAGCCAUACUACCCAAAGCAAUAUACAGAUUUAACCCAAUCCCUAUCAAAAUUCUAAUGGCAUCCUCCACUGAAAUAGAAAAAACAAUCCUAAAAUCCAUACAGAGCCACAAAAAUCCUAAAUAACCAAGGCAAUACGGAGAAACUCCAGCCUGGUGACAGAGUGAGACCCAGUCUCAAAAAAUAAAAUAAAAGAGCUCAAAAGCUUCGUAGGUCUAAGCUGCAAUGAGCCAUGAUUGUGUCACUGCACUCCAGCCUGGGUGACGGAGUGAGACCCAGUCUCAAAAAAUAAAAUAAAAGAGCUCAAAUACACAGAAAUAGAGAAUGAAACAGUGGUUACCAUGGUUAUUUUGGGGGGAAAGGAGAGGGAGCUGUGGGUCAAAAGAUACAAAAUAGCAGAUAUUCAGAAUAAGUUUAGAGAUCCAUGUACAACACGAGGACUACAGUUAAUAAAACUGUAUUGUACAGUCAUGUGUCACAUAACAUUUUGGUCAACAAUGGACCACAUAUAUAUCACACCACAUAAUAACAAUAGUUCCAUAAGAUUAUAAUACUGUAUUUUUAUUGUACCUUUUCUAUGUUUAGACAUGCUUGGAUACACAAAUACCACUGUGUUCCAAUUGCCUACAGGACUGAGGACAGUAACAUGCUGUACAGGUUUGUAGCCUAGGAGCAACAGGCUGUACCAUAGGGCCUAGGUAUACAGUAGGCUGUACUAUCUAGGUUUGCGUAAGUACACUCUAUGAUG
rnacentral:lncRNA from 1 species